rnacentral:rRNA from 1 species
AGCGAACGCUGGCGGCAUGCCUAACACAUGCAAGUCGAGCGCCCUCAGCAAUGGGGGAGCGGCGGACGGGUGAGUAACGCGUAGGAACGUAUCCUGAGGUGGGGGAUAACCCUGGGAAACUAGGGCUAAUACCGCAUGAUGGCGAGAGCCCAAAGAUUUAUCGCCUUGGGAGCGGCCUGCGUCUGAUUAGCUUGUUGGUGGGGUAACGGCCUACCAAGGCGAUGAUCAGUAGCUGGUCUGAGAGGAUGAUCAGCCACACUGGGACUGAGACACGGCCCAGACUCCUACGGGAGGCAGCAGUGGGGAAUAUUGGACAAUGGGCGAAAGCCUGAUCCAGCAAUGCCGCGUGGAAUGAAGAAGGUCUUCGGAUUGUAAAGUCCUUUCGGCGGGGACGAUGAUGACGGUACCCGCAGAAGAAGCCCCGG